AAGGUCUCCGUAGGUGAACCUGCGGAGGGAUCAUUACAAGUGACCCCGGGUCUAACCACCGGGAUGUUCAUAACCCUUUGUUGUCCGACUCUGUUGCCUCCGGGGCGACCCUGCCUUCGGGCGGGGGCUCCGGGUGGACACUUCAAACUCUUGCGUAACCUUGCAGUCUGAGUAAACUUAAUUAAUAAAUUAAAACUUUUAACAACGGAUCUCUUGGUUCUGGCAUCGAUGAAGAACGCAGCGAAAUGCGAUAAGUAAUGUGAAUUGCAGAAUUCAGUGAAUCAUCGAAUCUUUGAACGCACAUUGCGCCCCCUGGUAUUCCGGGGGGCAUGCCUGUUCGAGCGUCAUUUCACCACUCAAGCCUCGCUUGGUAUUGGGCAACGCGGUCCGCCGCGUGCCUCAAAUCGACCGGCUGGGUCUUCUGUCCCCUAAGCGUUGUGGAAACUAUUCGCUAAAGGGUGCUCGGGAGGCUACGCCGUAAAACAAACCCAUUUCUAAGGUUGACCUCGGAUCAGGUAGGGAUACCCGCUGAACUUAAGCAUAU
rnacentral:rRNA from 1 species